UUACGACCAUAUCACAUUGAAACACAGGUUUCCAUAUAGUCUCCAAAGUUAAGCAGCAUCAAGCUCAGUCAGUAGCUAGAUGGGUGACUGCUUGGGAAUACCAGGUGCUAUA